rnacentral:snRNA from 1 species
AUGCUUGCUUUGGCAGGACAUAUACUAAAAUUGGAAUGACACAGAAACAAUUAGUAUGGGCCCUGCACAAGGAUGACACACAAGUUCAUGAACCACUCCAUAUUUUU